AUAUUAAAGAGCGAGCCAGGACACCCACCUCAUCCUCCCGCUCUAGAGACGCCAUCAAGCCGGGAUCUACCGCCAUCCCGUCCCAUUCUCCCGCGAAAAAGCAUCCGCAGCCAUGCCGCGUGUGUGAAGAAGGCCUUUUGGUUGUAAAGCACUUUAAGCAAUGAAGAAGACUCCAUGGUUAAUACCCAUGGACGAUGACAUUAGCUGCAGAAUAAGCACCGAUUAACGCUUGCACCCUCUGUAUUACCGCGGUCGACGCGGCCG
rnacentral:rRNA from 1 species